GAAAGGCCCACUGCAUGGCUCAUUACUGUAAUGGAUGAACAGCUGUGCACGCAGAUCAUCCUCAGAAGCUCAAUGAGAGUAUCUGCUAGGGAGUGCAGUGUCGGCUAUGAGGAGACCAACUGGCAUUGAAUACUUUGUCAAUAUUGUUAUAAAAUUCCAUCGCAACAGGAUAUCAUCUCAGGUUUUAAUCCCGCAGCAGUCCCUGGUCUCGAGGUCAUAUCAUAGACAGGAGUUCUCUUACUGCAGAUGCUGCCCAGCAGUUGUAGUUGUGUCGCCCCCUAAUGGCCUGGUUGACUGUGUGAGCAUCCACCACUGCCGUCACCAGGUACAGA